GAUGAAGAACGCAGUGAAAUGCGAUAAGUAAUGUGAAUUGCAGAAUUCAGUGAAUCAUCGAAUCUUUGAACGCACAUUGCGCCCCUUGGUAUUCCGAGGGGCACGCCUGUUCGAGCGUCAUUUCAACCCCUCAAGCUUCGGCUUGGUGUUGGGCCGCGCCGCUGCACCAGCAGCUGGCGGGCCUCAAAAUCAGUGGCGGUGCCGUCUCGGCUCUAAGCGUAGUAACAUCUCUCGCUCUGGAGACCUGGCGGUGGCUUGCCAGACAACCCCCAACUUUCUUUAAGGUUUGACCUCGGAUCAGGUAGGGAUACCCGCUGAACUUAAGCAUAUCAAUAAGCGGAGGA
rnacentral:misc_RNA from 1 species